GGUUGCAACUUGAAGGAACUUCAAGGAAGCUUUGUUCUAAUCCUAUCAUCAUCUUUUCUCACCAUCAUCUUCACUUAGAUUCAUCCCUAGUUUUAAGCUAGUAGUAGUCGUGUUUGCUGAAGAGAUUUGGGUUACGAGUACCGAAGACGCAAUACAACAUUUAUUUACAUGGUAUGGGAAUUAGUAAAUGGAUCUGGCGGCGUUGGAGUUUUUAAGCUGCGUUGUGAAUAAAGAUGUCAUCCAAGUCAUUAGGGUUUAGGAGGCGUAUCUUAAUCCUGGACGGGAUACGUGGUCCUAAACUAGGGUUGUUUUAAAAUCUUUUGUUGAGUCAUUUUGAACUCCUUAAAACAUGUUAUGGUUUGUAACUUGAAAUUGGUCUCGUCAUUUCAGACAAUUAUGUUGUACUACUUUUAAACUUAAAUUAAUGGAUGUACAUCUACUGGUU
rnacentral:lncRNA from 1 species